AUAAUUCAAAGCACCAAAGAAAUUACAGAAUUAUCUCCCAAAAUAAAGCUGACAGAUAAUGAACCUUGUUCUGGUGCUAUGGACAAUAUAGAACCAUCAUUCUCACCAAUGGAAUCCCAGUCACCCAAAAAUUCAGAUUCCCCUAAGCUCAAAAGGAAACCAAAAGGUCGUCCGGUGAGAUCCAAAAGAAAGAAGAAUGUUGUCAGCAGAACUUUAAAAAUAGAUUUUAUCAAUGAACUUGAAUCAGAAGUAUC
rnacentral:lncRNA from 1 species